rnacentral:rRNA from 1 species
CCGUUGUACACACCGCCCGUCACACCACGAAAGUUGGUAACACCCGAAGCCAGUGGCCUAACCGCAAGGAGGGAGCUGUCGAAGGUGGGAUCAGCGAUUGGGUG